UCCCAGACUCCUACGGGAGGCAGCAGUGGGGAAUAUUGGGCAAUGGGCGCAAGCCUGACCCAGCAACGCCGCGUGAAGGAAGAAGGCUUUCGGGUUGUAAACUUCUUUUCUCAGGGACGAAGAAAGUGACGGUACCUGAGGAAUAAGCCACGGCUAACUACGUGCCAGCAGCCGCGGUAAUACGGAGGAUGCGAGCGUUAUCCGGAUUUAUUGGGUUUAAAGGGUGCGCAGGCGGCACGGCAAGCCGGCGGUCAAAUCGCGGGGCUCAACCCCGCCCAGCCGUCGGAACUGCCGGGCUAGAGUGGGCGAGAAGUGCGCGGAAUGCGUGGUGUAGCGGUGAAAUGCUUAGAUAUCACGAAGAACUCCGAUUGCGAAGGCAGCCUACUAAACUGCCACUGACAUUGAUGCUCGAAAGUGUGGGUAUCAAACAGGAUUAGAUACCCCAGUAC
rnacentral:rRNA from 1 species